AUUGAACGCUGGCGGAAUGCUUUACACAUGCAAGUCGAGCGGCAGCGCGGGGGCAACCCUGGCGGCGAGCGGCGAACGGGUGAGUAACAUAUCGGAACGUACCCAGUCGUGGGGGGAUAACUAUCCGAAAGGAUAGCUAAUACCGCAUACGUCCUGAGGGAGAAAGCGGGGGAUCGCGAAGACCUCGCGCGAUUGGAGCGGCCGAUAUCGGAUUAGCUAGUUGGUGGGGUAAAGGCUCACCAAGGCGACGAUCCGUAGCGGGUCUGAGAGGACGACCCGCCACACUGGAACUGAGACACGGGUCCAGACUCCUACGGGAGGCAGCAGUGGGGAAUUUUGGACAAUGGGGGCAACCCUGAUCCAGCCAUUCCGCGUGAGUGAA
rnacentral:rRNA from 1 species